UUCAAUUACCCUAGCGUAUGGAAAAGAAUACCAAUAUUCAGAAUGAGCUCCCUAGUCACUUAUAGUAACCACCCUUUGUCCUUUACCCACCCCCAGCGAACUCCCCAUAAUUGGGACUCUCGGCAACCUGUAUGCUAGCCCAGGGACAGUGAGAAAGAGGUGUGUAUAACUUUUGUGAUUCAUGACUGAGCUCACUCCUUGUUUCUUUGCCUUCUGCAGAUGUGCCCUUGAGAACAUACUCCUCCACACCAGCAGUGCACCUCCAUCAGAUAAGGGAGCAACCCAAGAGGAGUAAGGAGGAUAUGUUUUGCUAAGUAUUGCAGUCAACUGAUGCAG